CCUACGGGAGGCAGCAGUGGGGAAUAUUGGGCAAUGGACGCAAGUCUGACCCAGCAACGCCGCGUGUAGGAAGAAGGCUUUCGGGUUGUAAACUUCUUUUAAGGGGGACGAGCAGAAGACGGUACCCCUUGAAUAAGCCACGGCUAACUACGUGCCAGCAGCCGCGGUAAUACGUAGGGGGCAAGCGUUGUCCGGAUUUACUGGGUGGAAAGGGCGUGCAGUCGGCGGGACAAGUCAGAUGUGAAAUCCACGGGCUCAACCCGUGAACUGCAUUUGAGACUGUUUCCCUUGAGUGUCGGAGAGGGAAUCGGAAUUCCUUGUGUAGCAGUGAAAUGCGUAGAUAUAAGGAAGAACACUCGUGGCGAAGGCGGGUUCCUGGACAUUAACUGACGCUGAGGCACGAAGGCCAGGGGAGCGAAAGGGAUUAGAUACCCCAGUAGUC
rnacentral:rRNA from 1 species